CUACAAGGCCUUUACUGACGCUAAAGCUCGAAGGUGCGGGUAUCGAACAGGAUUAGAUACCCUGGUAGUCCGCACGGUAAACGAUGGAUGCCCGCUGUUCGCGAUAGACUGUGAGCGGCCAAGAGAAAUCGUUAAGCAUCCCACCUGGGGAGUACGCCGGCAACGGUGAAACUCAAAGGAAUUGACGGGGGCCCGCACAAGCGGAGGAACAUGUGGUUUAAUUCGAUGAUACGCGAGGAACCUUACCCGGGCUUGAACUGCCAGCGAAGGAUACAGAGAUGUUGAGGCCCUUCGGGGCGCUGGUGGAGGUGCUGCAUGGUUGUCGUCAGCUCGUGCCGUGAGGUGUCGGCUUAAGUGCCAUAACGAGCGCAACCCUUUUCAUUAGUUGCCAUCAGGUAAUGCUGGGCACUCUGGUGAUACUGCCACCGUAAGGUGUGAGGAAGGUGGGGAUGACGUCAAAUCAGCACGGCCCUUACGUCCGGGGCUACACACGUGUUACAAUGGGUGGUACAGAAGGCAGGAUCAAUGCAAAUUGUUUCAAAUCUUAAAAGCCAUCCUCAGUUCGGAUUGGGGUCUGCAACCCGACCCCAUGAAGCUGGAU
rnacentral:rRNA from 1 species